rnacentral:rRNA from 1 species
UGGGGAAUAUUGCACAAUGGGCGAAAGCCUGAUGCAGCAACGCCGCGUGAGUGAUGACGGUCUUCGGAUUGUAAAGCUCUGUCUUUGGGGACGAUAAUGACGGUACCCAAGAAGGAAGCCACGGCUAACUACGUGCCAGCAGCCGCGGUAAUACGUAGGUGGCAAGCGUUGCCCGGAUUUACUGGGCGUAAAGGGUGCGUAGGCGGACCUUUAAGUGAGAUGUGAAAUCCCCGAGCUUAACUUGGGGGCUGCAUUUCAAACUGGAGGUCUAGAGUGCAGGAGAGGAGAGCGGAAUUCCUAGUGUAGCGGUGAAAUGCGUAGAGAUUAGGAAGAACACCAGUGGCGAAGGCGACUCUCUGGACUGUAACUGACGCUGAGGCACGAAAGCGUGGGGAGCAAACAG